rnacentral:rRNA from 1 species
AGAGCUUGCUCUUUAUGAAAUCCAGUGGCAAACGGGUGAGUAACACGUAAACAACCUGCCUUCAGGAUGGGGACAACAGACGGAAACGACUGCUAAUACCGAAUACGAUUCUUGAGUCGCAUGACACAAGAAAGAAAGGGUGGCCUCUACUUGUAAGCUAUCGCCUGAAGAGGGGUUUGCGUCCGAUUAGGUAGUUGGUGAGGUAACGGCCCACCAAGCCGACGAUCGGUAGCCGGUCUGAGAGGAUGAACGGCCACAUUGGAACUGAGACACGGUCCAGACUCCUACGGGAGGCAGCAGUGGGGAAUCUUCCGCAAUGGGCGAAAGCCUGACGGAGCAACGCCGCGUGAGUGAAGACGGCCUUCGGGUUGUAAAACUCUGUGAUUCGGGACGAAAGAUAAGUAGACGAAUAAUCUGCAUAAGUGACGGUACCGAAAAAGCAAGCCACGGCUAACUACGUGCCAGCAGCCGCGGUAAUACGUAGGUGGCAAGCGUUGUCCGGAAUUAUUGGGCGUAAAGCGCGCGCAGGCGGCUACUUAAGUCCAUCUUAAAAGUGCGGGGCUUAACCCCGUGAUGGGAUGGAAACUGAGAAGCUGGAGUGUCGGAGAGGAAAGUGGAAUUCCUAGUGUAGCGGUGAAAUGCGUAGAGAUUAGGAAGAACACCGGUGGCGAAGGCGACUUUCUGGACGACAACUGACGCUUAGGCGCGAAAGCGUGGGGAGCAAACAGGAUUAGAUACCCUGGUAGUCCACGCCGUAAACGAUGGAUACUAGGUGUAGGAGGUAUCGACCCCUUCUGUGCC